rnacentral:tRNA from 1 species
GCGGGUAUAGCUCAAGUGGUAGAGCGCAUGCUUAGCAUGCAUGAGGUCCUGGGUUCAAUCCCCAGUACCUCCU